rnacentral:rRNA from 1 species
AGGGCGAACGCUGGCGGCGUGCCUAAUACAUGCAAGUCGAACGAGGUCCAUCCAGUGGAAACACCGGAGAAGGCCUAGUGGCGAACGGGUGAGUACCACGUGAGCAACCUGUCCCGAAGACCGGGAUAACGGCGGGAAACUGCCGCUAAUACCGAAUGCCCCCACGAGCCCGCAUGGGUUUGUGAGGAAAGGAUUCUGCUUCGGGAGGGCUCGCGGCCUAUCAGCUUGUUGGUGGGGUAACGGCCUACCAAGGCGACGACGGGUAGCUGGUCUGAGAGGGACGAUCAGCCACACUGGGACUGAGACACGGCCCAGACUCCUACGGGAGGCAGC